rnacentral:rRNA from 1 species
UGCAAGUCGAACGAAGUAGCAAUACUUAGUGGCAGACGGGUGAGUAACAUGUAGGUAUCUGCCCUUUGGCCUGGAAUAACACGAGGAAACUUGUGCUAAUACCGGAUAAGUCUUUACGGAGAAAGCUUUAUGCACCAUUGGAUGAGCCUGCACUUGAUUAGUUUGUUGGUGGGGUAAUGGCCUACCAAGACUGUGAUCAAUAGCUGAUUUGAGAGGAUGAUCAGCCACAUUGGGACUGAGACACGGCCCAAACUCCUACGGGAGGCAGCAGUGGGGAAUCUUGCACAAUGGAGGAAACUCUGAUGCAGCGAUGCCGCGUGAGUGAAGAAGGCCUUUGGGUUGUAAAGCUCUUUCGUCGGGGAAGAAAAUGACUGUACCCGAAUAAGAAGGUCCGGCUAACUUCGUGCCAGCAGCCGCGGUAAUACGAAGGGACCUAGCGUAGUUCGGAAUUACUGGGCUUAAAGAGUUCGUAGGUGGUUGAAAAAGUUGGUGGUGAAAUCCCAGAGCUUAACUCUGGAACUGCCAUCAAAACUUUUCAGCUAGAGUAUGAUAGAGGAAAGCAGAAUUUCUAGUGUAGAGGUGAAAUUCGUAGAUAUUAGAAAGAAUACCAAUUGCGAAGGCAGCUUUCUGGAUCAUAACUGACACUGAGGAACGAAAGCAUGGGUAGCGAAGAGGAUUAGAUACCCUCGUAGUCCAUGCCGUAAACGAUGUGUGUUAGACGUUGGAAAUUUAUUUUCAGUGUCGCAGCGAAAGCGAUAAACACACCGCCUGGGGAGUACGACCGCAAGGUUAAAACUCAAAUGAAUUGACGGGGACCCGCACAAGUAGUGGAGCAUGUGGUUUAAU